GAUGAACGCUGGCGGCGUGCCUAAUACAUGCAAGUCGAGCGAACAGACGAGGAGCUUGCUCCUCUGACGUUAGCGGCGGACGUGUGAGUAACACGUGGAUAACCUACCUAUAAGACUGGGAUAACUUCGGGAAACCGGAGCUAAUACCGGAUAAUAUAUUGAACCGCAUGGUUCAAUAGUGAAAUACGGUUUUGCUGUCACUUAUAGAUGGAUCCGCGCCGCAUUAGCUAGUUGGUAAGGUAACGGCUUACCAAGGCGACGAUGCGUAGCCGACCUGAGAGGGUGAUCGGCCACACUGGAAGUGAGACACGGUCCAGACGCCUACGGGAGGCAGCAGUAGGGAAUCUUCCGCAAUGGGCGAAAGCAUGACGGAGCAACGCCGCGUGAGUGAUGAAGGUCUUCGGAUCGUAAAACUGUGUUAUUAGGGAAGAACAAAUGUGUAAGUAACUAUGCACGUCUUGACGGUAACUAAUCAGAAAGCCACGGCUAACUACGUG
rnacentral:rRNA from 1 species